UCACCUGAUCAGCAACUGAACAGGCCCAUUGUAACUGCAAGGACAUCAUCUUCCCUGCUAUGAUGGGCUGUGUCCCCUGAACUGUGAACCAGAAUAAAUAUUUCCUCCUAAAUUGCUUCUUGGAAAUUCACACAAUAGAAAAAGUGACUACCACAGUCUUCCUCAGUACCCCAGAGUGGCCUGGAACCAGGCACCUCCAUCAGCUCCAAGUGCCAGGAACUGAGUUUUGGAUAAUCACAGUGGCCACUAGAAUGAUGAUGCACUGUCCUCAUGCUGAAAAGGGCAAGGAACAAUGCCAUAUGUGGUGAUAUACACCUAGACCAGUACUCAGGAGGCAGAGCCAAGAAGAUCUGAAAUUGGAGGCUAACCUCAAGUAGGAGGUGGAAGGAGAAGGAAGAGGAGGGGAAGGAGGAGGAGGAGGAGGAAGAGAAGAAGAAGAAAAAUAAGAAGGAGGAGAAAAGAAGGAGGAAAGAAAAAAGGAAUAAUUAAAGAAAAUAAAAGCAUGAAACAGAUACUUCUGGGAGCUUCUGGUGGGCCACCCUUGCUGUCUAGGCUGGCUUCAGAUUUCUGACCUCUGGAACUGUAAGAGAAAGCUUUGAUUUUAAAAUACCUGAGAAAUUCUUUUAACUUUAAAGAAAGACU
rnacentral:lncRNA from 1 species